AAGAAAAGGAAAGGAAAGAAAAGGAAAGGAAAGAAAGGGAAGAAGAAAAAUGAGAUUAGUUUCCCCUUCCCUGCAGAAGAGUGGUAGCCAUAGCUGGGACAGAGGAAGAAGUCCUCAGAGGAAGUCUGAAAUAUCCCCUGACAAGCUAUGAUCAAUGAGAUAUGAAUUAGUGGAAAAACAAGUUGGUUGAAUGUGAGAUAUACCAGUUACAAGUGGAGAGAAACGAACAUUAUUGGCUCCCUUGUGCAUGUGUCACUUCUGUGUGAAAAAUGAAAUACUAAAGCACAUCCAAAACUACAGUAAAAAGCAGCAUUACAGUCAUGAGAGUACUGUAAUGUAUUCACGAGAGCCCAGAUUUAAAAACUAAGAAGAUGGCAUUCCUUCCAAACAAGCUAAACCCAAGGCAUUAUCCUCAUUACAAGCCUGUCUGCCUCUGUAUGCAUUGUUUCCUUCUUCCAUUGCAGUUGCAAAGAUUUCCUGUAUCAAUCACUGCUCAGGAAUAAUUAUUGUCAAGCUUGAAAUAGAUCAUAUUAUCCUUCUUAAAUUUAUGCACUAAAUUUAUGAUGACAGGAUAAAACUCAAACUCCUCAGAAGAGUAGAUAACAUAAUAAAUAGCUGGAAGAUGAAGACUGCACCUUUCUUUGCUUCUAAAUGAUUGGUAUAGUUCCUAAUAUAUAAUAGACAUUGAAUAAGUAUCUGGUGACCUGUGAAAUAAUAAAUUAAUAAACUUAAAAUGCU